AUCUAUGGCCAUACCACCCUGAGCAUCCUGAUCUCGUCUGAUCUUGGAAGCUAAGCAGGGUUGGGCCUUGUUAGUACUUAAAUGGGAGACUGCCUGAGAAUACCGCUUGAUG
rnacentral:rRNA from 1 species